AUUUAUAAAGCAAAACGUAAAAAAUUGAUAAGGAUUAUCAAAAAUUGAUUAACAUUAACUAAUGAGCAAGUCGGGGUACAUUUUAAAUUGGCACUUGGAUUCGCGACAAGAAGUCGACGAAAUUCGGUUCAGUUUAUACAUGCGGUCAUCGAUGGUUACUAGCCCGGUCAAUGAGUUUAAAACAUUCGAAAAUUAAGGAUAAAUUUCACAUUUAAACGACAGUGAAAUUUUUGAAAAUAUUUCGCGUGUGUUUUGAAAUAAAUUGGAGAAGGUUUUUUGACCAGAUGAUCUAAUGGAGGAUCCGCUGCUGGCUGUUAAAACGGCCAAAAAUCUGUGAUUGUUGCGAUACCUUGAUUUUCCAAAAGGCUUUUUUCUUCAUACCAGUAGAACUUUCCGUAGUCUAGUAUCUCAAGUACAACACAAUAUGUAUUUGGUCACUACAAACAAGUCUGCGUCGUAAUGUUUUUUUUUAAAUUUAGAAUUGGUGUUUAAUAAUAAUAAAAAAUGACGUAACCAUG